rnacentral:rRNA from 1 species
CUGACCGUGCAAAGGUAGCGUAAUCACUUGUCUCUUAAAUGGGGACCUGUAUGAAUGGCCAAACGAGGGCUUAACUGUCUCCUUUUUCAAGUCAGUGAAAUUGAUCUUCCCGUGCAGAAGCGGGGAUACUUCCAUAAGACGAGAAGACCCUAUGGAGCUUUAGACACCAAGGCAUACCAUGUUAAAGCCCCCAAAUUAAAGGACUAAACUAAAUGAGCCCAUGCCUAUAUGUCUUAGGUUGGGGCGACCCCGAGGAAAUAAAAAACCCCCGAGUGGACUGGGAACAUACUCCUAAAACCAAGAGCUACAGCUCUAAUUAACAGACAUUUCUGACCAAAAAAGAUCCGGUGAAUUCCGAUCAACGGAACAAGUUACCCUAGGGAUAACAGCGCAAUCCCCUUUUAGAGUUCAUAUCGACAAGGGGGUUUACGACCUCGAUGUUGGAUCAGGACAUCCUAGUGGUGCAGCAGCUAUUAAGGGUUCGUUGUUCAACGAUUAAAGUCCUACGUGAUCUGAGUUCAGACCGGAG